rnacentral:rRNA from 1 species
CGGCCACCGCUAUUGGAGUCCGCUUAAGACAUGCGAGUCGAGAGGGGUCAAGCCCUCGGCGCACUGCUCAGUAACACGCGGAUAAUCUGCCCUAAGGCGGGGAAUAAUCUCGGGAAACUGAGGAUAAUGCCCCAUAGCCCACGGAUGCUGGAACGCACUGUGGAUGAAAGCUCCGGCGCCUUAGGAUGAGUCUGCGGCCUAUCAGGUUGUAGUGGGUGUAACGGACCCCCUAGCCUUCGACGGGUACGGGCUUUGAGAGAAGUUGCCCGGAGAUGGGUUCUGAGACACGAACCCAGGCCCUACGGGGCGCAGCAGUUACGAAAACUUGGCAAUGCGGGAAACCGCGACCAGGGGACUCCAAGUGCUAAUACUUAGUAUUAGCUGUUCUUCUGUCUAAAAAACAGGAGAAGUAAGGGCUGGGUAAGACGGGUGCCAGCCGCCGCGGUAAUACCCGCAGCCCAAGUGGUGGUCAUUAUUAUUGAGCCUAAAGCGUCCGUAGCCGGACUCGUAAAUCCUUGGGUAAAUCGGGCAGCUUAACUGUCCGAAUUCCGAGGAGACUGCGAGUCUUGGGACCGG